CUUCCCCCCCCCUCCCGCCCUCCGCGCCGCUCGCGUGAGCCCCGCAGCCAAUCGGCGGCCGCCGGGGGGCGGGGAGCGGCGGGGGCGGGGUGGCGCGAGCUGUGCUGCGGGGCGCGCGCCGCACGUGGGCUGGGGGUGGGGGGUCGGGGGUCGCGUCCCGUCCCCGUCGUGUUCCCACCACCACCACCUCCCCCCCCCCCCCGGCCCGGUCAGCGCCGCGCUCCCGGCCGGGACUCCCGGCAUCCCUGGGAGCCUGCCCCGCCCGCGGCCUCCCUCCCGCCGCUGAGCCCGGGCCGGGGGCGGCUGCAGGUAACGCGCGUAGGGAGGAACUGCCCCGAACCCCCCCCCGUGACUCUCCGUGAGCGGCUGCCGGGCACGGAGCUGGCGGGUUGCAGCUCCCAGCGCUGCAGUAGCAGGCGGGGAAGCCGAGGGAGGGGCUGCACGUCUGCGGGGAGGUUGUGCUGGUGGCUGAAGCCUCGGUGCAGCCACCCCUUGGGUGCAACGGGCGGUUUGGGCUCCGCAUCGCCCGGUGUGGCCGAGCGGGAGGAAGGCAGCUGGAGUUACCGAGGGGGUGAGAGCGACAGAGGAGAAGCUUCAAAGAAGCUUAAUUCUCUCCGGUUUGGAAAGAAGAGGUGGGGUGAUGGGAUGGAGUUGUACAAGACCACGAAGGCAGUGACGGGUGACACAGUUAUAGUUCAGUUGCAAAACCGGCGUCUGGUUCCAGCUUGAAAUUUUGAUUAUUUUGGGGCUAAAUGGGCUGGGUGUGUCAGGAUCAGGGGAUUUUACGUUAGGUCUCCGUUAAAUAAGAGUUUGCAAACAGUCCUGAUGGAGCAAGUACACUGUGUACCUUCUGCACAAUGGUCGAGUCAGGAGAGGUUAUUUCAAGACCUGGAUGGGAGAUACGUCCCGAGGCAAAUAGGAAGAUCAGCAGACUAACCUGCAGUCAGACACAGACUUGGAACAGAUCCACAGCAAAAAAUUCUUCCACCUACAGCCUGCCUCAAAUUCUCUUCCUGCACAGCCUGCAGAGUUCCCUUGUCAGACCUGAGGCCGGUCUGUACCACUCCCACCAAGAUAGAGCAAAUUUGUCGUUACUUUUGCCAAAACCUUUCCCAUUCCUUCCAAGAAGCCUGCUAUGGGUACAAGAGCACACUUGCAUUUCAAAUUUCGCAGCCCACGGAUGGGUAAAAGUUGGUCAGGUCACAGAACUCAGAGCCACUGUGAGACUAUUCGCAGGCUCCCACCAAAUCUGCAGCCGGAGAUUUUUGGCCUAAAUAGUUCAAUUAUGCUAUUUCAGUCAAGCGUGCUUGACCGACCAACCCUGUGUUGGGCAGAACGCUAUGACAGGCGGUAUUUAAAAUCUAGAAGACCCUAGAGAUAACGUUAAUUCAGCUUUAAUGCUAAGGUACGGCUCCCCUGCAGCUGCGGUUCACUAAGGGAGCGAGUGUUGCAGUGUGCUGACCCUCGUAGGGGAGCCGCGUUGGCAAGAUAACCUGCUGCGACCUCGUCUGGACUUUGGCUUGGGCCCAGUGCCUUGCUUGCCCUUUUUGUAUUACUCUGUUAAAGAACUGCUUGUGAGCAGAAAAAGCAAUUAUUGCCUAAGAUAUGGAUUGUGGCACUCUUCCAUGCACGUUUUGGCUUUGCUGCUACUCUGGGCUUAAGGCUUGCUUGCUGCCUCGUAUUUGUGGGCAGGGAGCUAUGGCACGUACAAUAUUAAUAAUUGCACAAGCUAAUAAUCUCACUUCUGAGACACGUUUUUGCAAACUUCUAAUUUUGUAGGACUUGUUCUGCGCAAGUUAAGGGAAAACCGAUAAAGAAGGACCCAACAAGAUACUGCAACCCUGAUCUGACUGAAUAGCUGCCUGCUCAGAAGCGGAGGCUUUGGGAUCUCCCCUUUUGGGCCAGCUGAGGAAGACUCAGCCGAUGCCCUGACAGAGAAGGCGGCACAGCCCUGACCUUGCUCCAGGCCCUUUUCCACGGGGUUGCAGUACUCUGUUCUGGGAAGAAGCCCGAGGGGUAAAGCAGCAUGGGAAUACUGCUGAUAGCCCAGCUGGCCUUGGAUGCCAGCCCAGGCUACUCUGUCCUGGGAGAAACUUACCCUUGAUUGGAACAGGGACAAGAUAGUCUUGGAAAGGGAAGGAGUCACGUGAAUUAAAAAAGCAUUUGGGACCUUUAUUUUUGCCCCCGUAAGUACCUGGGGUUUUCGGGAGGUCUCCUUGUCACGUGAACGGGGCUGUAUACUGGGAAGAGCAGGCUGUCUCUAUGAUGUUACUUAAACGAACAUCGGUGAUGAAUCCCGUGGCGUAAGGCCAGGUGACGUGGCGCACGCUGUUCGGGACUUGCUUUGUAAUAUCCAGGUGCCUUGGAGAGAUGUUCUCAGAGCAGUCCCAAAACCAAAGCCAGGGAGUGAGCUAAUUGCUAAGCAGCGUGGAUGGUGGGGGAGUUGAGAACGCUCGGCGUACUCCCUGCUCCUCAUCAAUGUAGCAGUAUCAGAUAUGUCAACGUGUCUGAAUAAAAGUUUAGGCAGCCAAAAAUGUCAGAUGUGCGCAUGAGCCUCAUUAGGCAGCUACGAUAUCCCGGUCUCCGCGCCUCGUGCCGCAGACGGGAGCGAUGUGGGAGCAUCUCACUGCGUUUAGAUUCUCUGCUCCAGGUGCCCACGUACCCAUUUGCAGCUGGAUUAACAAAGCACGGCUUUCGGCACGGGUCCAGGGCCAGACUGAGUCUUUAGCAAGAGCCCGUAGCUGGUGGGCAGUGCUGCAGUCCUCCAGUUUACCUGUGCAGGUGAUAACUGGUUAUAUUGGGGAAUCAGCUUGAGCAGCAAUUGCUGAAUGAAGAAAAGUAGAGCCUGCCGUUCCAGGUUUUAGUGGGUCUCACAGCCUGAGAACAUUCUCUGCUAAUAUCUUCAGUGUCUGACAAAUCCGAUGUCUGGAAGUAAAUGCCGUAUCUCAUCUCAGCCGUGAGAGUGGCUGGAGGUGUGAAGAAUUCCGCCUGCCUCCAGAGCGAGCAGGUAUCAAUGGCACGAGGUGGUCCGGCUGGGAAUCCGAGGUGCAGCAUUUAACUUAUUGGAAUAAAAUCAGACAGGAAAACAAAAAAAAAAUGAGGAAAGAAGCCAAACGGGGAACUUCUCAUUGCAGGAGAAAUCUUCCUCCUAAACAUUUUUAAAUAUCGGAACAAUCUGGAAACAUUUUAACUUGGAAGAUAUUUAAUGUUUUGCCCUCUCCUCAUGCUGCUUUCCAACUUGUGUGCUUUUUUUUUUUCCCCCUCCAUGUAUUUGUUUUCCCCCUUGCGACAGGUGAUCCAGCUUUUCCCUGCUACUCGUGCAGUUCUCUGUGUUUGAACUUCACUUCUGGAAGGAGCUUCUCUUGUCCGAUAAGAACUGUUCUUUCCAGCAGAAGGGGUUUUUUACACUCACUUAUUGGCCUUCUUUUCCCAUGCUUCCACUCUCAUUGUUUUUCUCCGUCGGUUUGUUCUCCUGCCAUCUGUGCGCUUGUCUCACGCCUCCAUCAUAAAGUUUAUGAAAUCCAGACAGAAAAAUAUUCUGCUGCUAAAAAAGCGAGGCAUUAAACUCAUCCUUCUGCUCAGGUCAGUGGAGGUGACGUGUGCGCGCAGACAGCCGCUUCCUUCAGUAAACUGUAUAGGGCCUUGGAGAUGUUGCUGUGCUGUCUCUUCUCCAGGGAGCUGUCGGAAUAUGGACAUUUGUAAAAGAGAGCAAAUUUCAGAAGAGAGCUGGAGGCCUUUGCGAAAGGAGGUUGGGAGUUUCAUGCCAUCAGUGAGCGUGAGCAUCAGUCAGCUCCACCCAUCUCCGUUGCUUCUCAAAAGCCGGGACAAACGAGGUACCAAGGAUUGCAUCAAGAAAACAAAAUCUUUACGUUCGCCACGCUGAUUCUGCAGGCCGAAGAAGAGAUGACAUACCGAGCCGUAUUUGUGCUGCUGGCAUCAGUAGAAUUGUACUUCAGCCGUAUUUAGCUUCUGGUGCUGCUGUUCCUGGAGACAGUGAUUCCUUCCUUCUAAAUCAGGAAAGUGCUUUCUGUAGUUCUGGAAGGAAUGCCAAAUCACAUCUUGCAUCACCCGGGUACCUCAGCGUACUCCUGUGCUUGAAAGUCCCUCGCCCAGAUACCACAGGCUGGUUCCCUGCCUCCAUCGGACUGACACCUCUGCGACCCACCUUUACACCACCCGGAUGGAAUACGCUACUUUUCCACCAGAAAAGAUUUUGCUGUUGAGGGGUACGUCUCCCCGUGCUCUACAGUUGCAGUGCUGUGUCUGGAACUCGUGUCUUUCCUCCACUGUCCUCCAGUCUUGAUGUUUAUGGAAUUCAGCAGUCAGGAAAGACCUGUCCCACGUAGCUUCUUUCCUUUUUGUAGGCCAGGUGGGGGCAGCAGCCUUCAGACGUGCAGGCGAUGUUCCCCUUUCCGUCACAGAGUGAGGAGGGUGCAGCAGGCUGGGUUUGCACUCCGCUGCACGCCCGGGGCUCUGGGGCGGCAUUAGAUGGGUCUUCACUCCUAAAGAGGUCCCAGAAGUGAAGUAGAGCUCUGGACCUCUAUUGUCUAUGCCACCUGAUUGCUAAUUCACUCUCUUGCUCUUUUUUGGGCCUUUUGAAUCCGAUCUGAGAUAAAUAUUUUAUAGAGAGGUCUGGCCCUGAGUAGGGUAGAAGCAGCCAGUCGUUACCAUUUGCCCUCAGGAGCAGCAGUCGGUGGCUGGCUCUUCUUCAGCAGCAUCGAUGUUAAGGAUCUUUUGCAUAGCAGGAGAGAAAAAGGAGGCAGGAAUGAAUGAUGAAAUCCUCAAGUAAAAAAGUUUUUGGUUUGCCCCUCCUCUUCGCCCAUUUUCAUCUUAUUUGAGGUCGUUACUGCAACAUUUGUUGUGCUUCAAACUGGAAUUUUUUCAAAGUCAUGAAUAGCUUUGUGAACUGAAGAAAAGACUCAGAAGGAGACAUUUUUAAUCUGUUUGAAGUUCUUAGCGUACUUAAAAUUUCUGUAAUAAAACUGUCAGUCCAUGAAGUUGGGCCGCUAAGAGCACAGAGAGAAAUGUAGUUCGCUAAAGCAACCGAGCAACAGCUCGUUGGAGAAGUACCAUUAGUUUCUAGGAACGCGGCACUUUUGAAAAGGCUUUCAAUUUAAGCCUGAUUUUUUUAUUAUUUUUUUUCUCUAGAGGAAUAACGAACAGUGAAUUUUAGCGACUUAGUUUUCAAAUGCUCGUGUUGAAACAGCCUCGGGACUCUGAUCGCUCCUGCUGCGAGCGCUUGGACGUUACAGCAGGAGAAUUCAGCAGCGUGAGCAGCAGCGUUCUGCAGGUUCGUAUUUUCAAGCUGACUGGCAGUGAUUUUAGGUUAUCCUGCAAUGCUGGGUUGAUAAACUACAUCAUCCUUCAGCAGGACUAUGGGUGUCCAAAGCUGUGAGUGGGGUGAAGGGCUUGGGGGAGGCUUUUUGAGGCAAGCUGCUCCCUUCGCCUUUAUUUUCAGCAGGGUGGCUGAGCAGCCCCCCUUCGCUGCAAGGUGUCUUGAAAGCGCUUCGAAUUGCAAAUGAAAGAAACAACGCGCCCAUGACUGUUAUUAGCUUUUGAAAUACCGGGUUCAGACAGGCGGAUGUGGCUUUAGGCAUCCACGUCUGGACCUCCUGACAAAAAUCAAGGCAGUAAAAAAAUCCGUUGUGGUUUUGAUGGGACUGUUACUGAUAGUAACAACAGACUCUGCUUUUGAUUUCUCUGCUGGACCAGGCUUUGAAUGUACAUGAAAAAGAAUCAAGGAAAGAAGUUGAAGCAAACUAGUUAAAACUCUCAAAAGAACCAUUUUUAAACAUAGAAGCAUUCAGAGUACAAAACCUCUUUUUCAGGACCCCUGGCUCAUUCCUAGGGGCCGUUUCUUACAUUUCUGCUAAAUCAGUUGAGAAAGUCACUAAAGCAUAGCAACAUUGCAGUGUCCCUAGGAAAAAAAAAAAAAAAACCAACACCAAAGAGCCUUGAGAAAACUCUGAAUAGCGCAGAAAGCAAGAACAAAUGUUUUAUAUAUGUGGUAUUGUUAAAACUCCCAAGUGGCGUAAAUAUAAUAAACAAUAGUGAAGAAUGGGAUAUUUCUGUUUGUUUCCCCACACUCGAGACGACCUAACCUACCUCAGGCAUGGUUCCAC